rnacentral:rRNA from 1 species
CAAUGACACAAAAGUAGAUGAAGCAUGGCUGUCGUCAGCUCGUGCCGUGAGGUGGUGGGUUAAAUCCCGCAACGAGCGCAACCCCUAUCUUUAGUCGCCAUCGGGUUAAGCCGGGAACUUUAAAGAAACUGCCAGCGUAAGCUGCGAGGAAGGUGGGGACGACGUCAAGUCAUCACGGCCCGUUCGUCCUGGGCCACACACGUGAUGCAAUGGUAGGUACAGAGGGCAGCUACUGGGUGACCAGAUGCGAAUCUCUAAAACCUAUCUCAGUUCGGAUUGGAGUAUGCAACUCGUCUUUAUGAAGCUGGAAUCGCUAGUAAUCGCGCAUCAGCCAUGGCGCGCUGAAUACGUUCCCGGGCCUUGUACACACCGCCCGUCAAACAAUGGAAGCUGGGGGUGCCUGAAGUCGGUAACCGUAAGGAGCUCCCUAGGGUAAAACUGGUAAGUGGUGUUAAGUCGUACCAAGGUAACC